GCUCUGGUGGCUUAGUGGUUAAAGCAUCCACUUUGGAUGCAGGAGGUCGUGGGUUCAAACCCCAGCCAAGUCA